rnacentral:lncRNA from 1 species
GCGCGCUUUCUACCCUAAGAACUUGAGAAAAUCAAAUCCUAAAUCCUUCCUUGCGUUAAUUUCUCCUCAUCUCCAUCUCUUGUUCACGCGGUUGACCAAGGGAUUCUGUGAAUUUCUCUGCAUAUCGUUGCUUAUUUCUCCUCAGCUCUAUCUCUCUUUCAGUUUGGAGGAUUUUGUGAAUUUCUUUGCCUCUGCAUCUUUCUGUCGGUCUAGGUAAUUUUGUUUCACAAAAAUCCCCCAAAUAACAAUGAAUUCAUCCCAAAUUUUCAUCUCUCAUUGAUGAUUAUGUAUUUCUCUUUUUCUGCAGAUUUUAUUUUUUCAAUUGUGGAAGGGAAGUGUUGACGGAUAUACGGUUUGAAUCGGGAAAUUGGUGGAAAUAGUUUCUUCUUCGCAUCCUUGGGAAGGUAUUUCUUCUUUUUUUGAUUCUGCAACUCUGGGCAGUAAACUCUGUUUUAGGCUUGACGUGAGAUUGUUCUUGCGGCUUCGGGUGUGAAAAAAUAUUAUGUAAUUAUUUCACAUAGUGGAAUCAUUGGAUUGAGGGUUGUGUGAUGCAUCUAUAAGUCUGUACCCUUUUUCUUGUUCACAGUCAGUUGAAGCAGAUUAUGUUUCUACAAUAUCAGACUUUAAUUUUCAGGUUUAUAUGUUAAACUUCUGUAAUCAUAGAGAAGAGAUUUUCUUAGCAGAACUUGUGGAUGAUGUUAGACAUGGUCUCCUCAGUUCUUUGAGAACAUUAAAAUAGGCAAAACCAUUUGGAUUACAUUGUAUAAUCCGCGAUUUGAGUAUUUUCUUGAACUGCGAGAUAGAUAAUUGUCUAUAUAGUUUGCAAUCUAUCAAAUCAAUUCUAGGUAAGAGUUUAUUCUUCUUAUUGAAUGUGAUUUAGGAUAAAAAUUUUCACGCCCAAAACAAUUGGGUUAAAUCUUCCUGCACUUACAAAUGGGGUUUAUAUUUCCCAUGGCUGUUAAUGCUGUUGACCAAAGAGCAUUCUAGCAUGCAUUACUUCCCCCGAAAAAUUUCACGAUGCCAUUGUUAGACUGAGUGGAGACUAUGCUGUUAUCCAUGAAUGAAUUCUCGGAAAAUGUUUGACUUGAUGUAGUCGAACUAUUGUCCAGACCACCCUGAUGAAGUGGAAAUGGGAAGCGGAUGUUAGCGCUCGAUGUUUGAGAGUAAAGUAGGCUAUGAAAGCCCAUAGUUUUGGUAAUUAGGUUGGAAAAACUUUCAAUUUGUGCUUCUUGCUGGAAUCCAGGAAAUCCAACGUGAAUUUUUUCAUUAAUGAUUCUCCUGCCUCUAUUUCUGAGCUUGGUUUAUUCAAGGCUGCUGCUGGUUGAAUCAUUGAAAGGCAAACUCAAGUAUGAUGAAGAAACUAUUUGAUCUGAAUCCUCUGCCUUUUUUGUAGGUAAUCAUGAACUUUUCCCUUUGUUUGGCUGCUUUGUUGUAGUCGCUUCAAGAACUUGGUUGUGGUUUACGCCCUCUUCAACUACUUUUGGAAAUUCAUUUGUAUUAGAAGCCACAUUUAGAAUAGGUUCAUCUAUGAAGAGGUGAUCAAAAUUAACAUGCCUCCAUCUGUCAAUCUUCAAUUUAUUCUUAGGAUCUUUUGCAUGUUCAUCAAAAGCAUCUUUGUAACUCCCUUUUUGCUUCCUAACAUCAGAAGGUUCCACAUUAUAGAAUACAGGAUAAAUCUGUUGGCCAAAUUUCUGAUUACAUUCAACGAUUUUAGCAAUCUCUUCUAAGCACCAAGUGGAAUCGGCAUAGUUUUCUGAGAAGAUAACGAGGGCAACUUUGGAUCUUUCAAUGGCAUUUUGGAGUAGUGGGGAAAUGGAACUUCCUCUCUUGAGUUUAAUAUCGUCUUUGAAUGUGAGGAAUUGUGUUGUCUUUGGUCAUAAAUAUUAAUAAAUUUUAUUUUGUUCAUAAAUGUUAAUGAAUUUUAAAUUUCAAAAUUAAAGGUAAUUUUAAAUUUCAAUUUUCCAAUUUCCCCCAACAAUUACCAUCAUGGUUUACAAUUCUUUAUUAAUUCCAUUUCUUAAGAAAUUAGUUUAUGAUUAGCUGAAGUCCAAUUCUCAUAUUUUUAAGAGUCUCCAAGUGGAAUCUAGAAAAAUAAUUAAAUAAAUCAAAUAAAAGCAACAGUGAUUAUUGAUUAAAAUUGUGUUAAUCGUGAUUAUAAUUUUUUUUAAUCAUGUAAGCGCGUUUCGGAUGUACCUUGGAUCUACUUGAGAUGUCUUUGCCCAUAUGCAUACUAUUUAGGAAAUGGUGGAAUUUGAAGAUUUAUUAUCUUAUAAGAAAUGAAUAAAUUGAGGAUUUUAUCACUGAACAAAAGGGAGAAGACCAAUGAAUAUAAGUAUUAAAAAACUUUUUGUAUUUAAAAUAACAGCAUCUGUGAAUAUUUAGUCAAGUGAUAUUUUAGAAGUUUCCUUAGAUUUUGUCUUUGUUGUGUAGUACUAAAUAUUGUUGAAUAUAAGAUUAAAAUGUCCCAUUUCAAAUAUAGGUAUACUCAUAUAUACUACUAGGAUAAUAUUUGGGUUUCCACAAAUUAUGGAUAAAGAAUGGGUACGUCUUAACAGGUAAUUUGUACAUUGUCAUGUAAUUUACAUACUUUAUAUUUUAAGAUAAUAUCCUAAAAUAUUGUCUUUUAAAAUUAUUAGGGCCUCAUAGAAGUAUAUAAAAGCUUCAGAAAAUUUUGUCAUUACUGCUCAUCAUAAUUUAGGCAAACCAGAUAAAAUUUUAUGUCCUUGUAAAGGUUGUCGAAACUUAAGCCAUCAAUAUAUAAAUAUAGUUCACGAGCAUCUGGUCAUAAGAGGAAUGGGUCCGACUUACACAAAUUGGUUUCACCAUGGAGAAAGACUGAUUUGUAAUGUUGAUACUACAAGUAAGAUUGAAGUAUUCAACUUGUUUGAAGCUGCACAUACAAAUGAAGAACAUAACAAGGAAGUUUUUGAAGAGAAUUUGGAUGAUGACAUUAGUCGAUUGGUAAUGGAUGCUGAAACUCCAUUGUAUCCAGGAAAUGAAAAAUACACGAAGCUAUCUUCAAUUGUGACCUUAUAUAAGCUUAAAACUAUUAGUGGUUGGUCAGAUAAUAGCUUUACAGAACUUCUAAAUACAUUACAUGAUAUGUUACCUGAAGGUAAUGUAAUUCCUACAUCCACACUAUGUGUAAGAAAAUUGCUUAAGACAUUUGAUUUAGGAUAUGAGAAGAUUCAUGCACGUGUCAAUGAUUGUUGGUUGUUUAGAAACGAUAAAAAUGAACUAGAUAGCUGUCCAAAGUGUGGUUCUUCGAGAUGGAAGGUCGAUAAGCAGACACGAAAGAAUAAAAAUGUUGUACCUGCUAAAGUCUUCAGAUACUUUCCUAUAAAACCUAGAUUCCAGAGGACGUUUAGUACAUCGAAGAUGGCUGAAUCAUUAAUAUGGCAUUCAACCAAUCAGAGUGUUGAUGGUAAAAUGCGUCAUCCAGUGAAUUCUCCAUCUUGGGCUUUAAUUGAUAACAAGUGGCCAGAUUUUGCAAAUAAUCCAGGCAGUCUUAGGCUUGGGCUUGCUACGGAUGGUUUCAAUCCAUUCAACAAUUUUAGCUUUACCUAUAGUUGUUGGUCAGUGGUGAUGGUUAUUUAUAAGCUACCACCAUGGUUAUGUAUGAAAAAAGAAAAUGUAAUGUUGUCAUUGUUAAUUCCAGGGCCUCAAUAGCCUGGGAAUGAUAUUGAUAUAUAUUUGCAACCACUUAUAGAUGACUUGAACGAAUUGUGGAAUAUUGGGAUGAAUGUGUAUGAUGCACACACUAAUGCAGCCUUCAACUUGAGAGCAAUACUUAUGUGGACUAUUAAUGAUUUACCAGCUCUUGAAAAUUUAGCUGGAUGUAAAAUUAAGGGUAGGACAGAUUGCCCUAUAUGUUCUCAGAAUACUCAUUCACAGUGAUUAAAAUUCAGCAGAAAAUUUGCAUACAUGGGUCAUAGGAGAUUUUUGUCACCAUUUCAUCCGUUAAGGAAAAAGAAAUCUUGGUUUGAUGGACAUGAAGAAAAGGGAAGCAAACCUAAAAUUAUGUCUGGUAGCAACAUUCUGGUUACUCUUAAAAAUUAUGUCAACAAUUUUGGGAAAGCUCAGAAACGAAAAAGAAAGACAAAUGAUGGGAGCAUGCUAACAUGGAAAAAGAGAUCAAUCUUUUUAAACUUACCAUAUUGGGAGGUAAGAUUUUGGCAUUCUCCAACUUUUAUUCAAUUAUUUGAAUAUACUUUUUGUAUGAAACUAACAAAAUCUUUUUCCUUUGUUACAUUAUUAGGUGCUACCAUUACGUCAUAAUUUGGAUGUAAUGCACAUUGAGAAAAAUGUAUGCGAAAGCAUUGUUGGUACAUUGUUAGAUAUAAAUGGUAAAACAAAAGAUAGAUUAAAUGCUCAUAAGGAUUUACAAGACAUGGGAAUUAAGAAGGAGUUACAUCCAGAGGACCGAGGUAAUAGAAUAUACCUUCCUCCUGCUCCACAUAUGUUGUCAAGGUUAGAGAAACAAACAUUUUGUAAGAGGUUGUUUAACUUGAAAUUACCUGAUGGGUAGAGUUCAAAUGUAGCCACUUGUAUGUCAGUAGAUGAAUACAAAAUGAUUGGCCUCAAGUCACAUGAUUGUCAUGUCCUCAUGCAACAACUUUUGGCUGUAGCAUUAAGAGGAUUACUUCCAAAAGGACUGAGACAUGCAAUUUUUAGACUGUGCACAUUCUUCAAUAGAUUAUGCCAACGUGUUGUUGAUAGAGAGAAAAUAGCAAUAUUAGAAGAUGAAGUAGUUGAAACCUUAUGCAGUCUUGAAAGAUUCUUUCCUCUUGCAUUUUUUGAUAUCAUGAUACAUCUGGUGGUACAUUUGGGAAGAGAAGUACGAUUAUGUGGUCCAGUUCACUAUUGUUGGAUGUAUCCUUUUGAGAGGUGAGAAAUUCACUAUUACUUGGAUAAAUUUACACACAUAAUUUCAUUCUUAGUACUAAUUUGUUUACUUUGUUUAAUUAUAGACAUAUGAAGAUAUUCAAAGGACAUGUGAGAAAUCGUGCACGACCCGAAGGUUACAUAGCUGAAUGUUAUCUUGUAGAUGAGUGCAUGAAUUUUUGUACCGAGUUUAUGAAAUAAGUAAGAGAAAUUGGUCAUCGAGAGGGGCGCAAUCAAGAUUAUGUUAGCAAUGAAAUUACUGAGGGACGUCCCAUUUCUGCUCCAAAUUUUAUUACACUAAGUAAUGAAAAGUUAGAGUAGCACAUCGUUAUGUAUUAUUCAAUACAUCUUAUGUGGAACCUUAUUUGGAGUAAGUCAUCCACUUUUCAUAUUAGUAAGUGUAGAACAUGUAUAUAAAUUUGUAAUCUUUGAUAACUUGCUUACUAUUAGAAUGCAUAAAGAGGAGCUCAAGUGAAACAAUAGAAGCCUUGAAAAAAAUGAAAGCUUGCUUUGGAAAAUUCACAUGGAGAACUUUGCAGUUUGGUUAAAGGAAAAGGUUGUAUGUAAUGUUAAAAAAUUCUUAUCUUCUCAUUAUGAUACUAUAUAUUUACAUCACUGAUACAUGUCUAACUUUUUUCGCAGAUUAAAGUAGGUUCCACCAUAAGUGAAAUAUCAGAUGUUCAGAAAUGGUUGGCAUAUGGUCCUAAAAUGCAAGCAGUCUCCUACACUGGAUAUAUUAGCAAAUGACAACGUUUCCACAUAAAAGAUGUUGAGAAAUCUACACAGAAUAGUGGUGUAUCAAUUGAAGCGACAACCAUGUGUAGAGCUAGUGCAAUAGAUAAUGCACAAGUUUAUGAUGUUGUUGCAUUUUAUGGAGUCAUUAGAGAAAUAAUUUUAUUAAAUUACCACAUAAUGAAGAUUCCACUCUUUAAGUGUGACUGGGCAAAUGUUGGUAACAGGGUGAAAGUGGAUGAUUGUUUUACACUUGUUAAUUUACACCAAGGUCAAAAUAAUUUUCUAAAAGAUCCUUUUAUUUUAGCAUCACAGACCAAACAAGUGUUUUAUUCAAGAGAAAAUGAUUCCUCUAACUGGUACGUGGUUUUGAAAGCACCACCUUGAGGAUUUCAUGAUCUAGAAAUGUAUGAUGAGGAUGAGGAAGUCAACGUUAGAAAUAAUGUUUCAUUGAACAUUGAUUAUGUGAACGAGGAAAUUAGCUAUGUAAGAGGGGAUUGCGAGGGUACUUUAAUUUGACGAUUGUAAAUUUUAGUUCAGAAAUAAAAAGAUCCUUUUGUAUUUAGUUUUAUUUGCGUUUUUCUGUCGCCUUGCAAUGAUGAGUAUUGUUUAUUCAUUUUUUAAUGUCAUUUUUUGAAAUUUUGACAUAGAAUGCUAAUCAUGAUUUUUAUAGUUUCUUAAAUAGGCUGGAUAUCAUGGUGAAUAUCAGAAAAAAGGUUGUUGAUGAUUCCAAAGCUCCACGUAAAAAGAGAUUAGUACGAAAAACUACACAUGGACAACUUAAAGUAGCCAACACAUUUCAACAACAUUUUAACUCUCUGGAUGUUCCUACUAGUUCUUUCUACAGCAUGAAUAUGCAUAAGGAUCUCAUGAAAAAAAUAUUAUUCACUUGUUGAUUUACCAAAAAACUGUACAGUGAGGUCCAUCACUAACACAUUUACAGAUGAGGCAUCACAUGAGGUUACCCCAGAAGAUGAUGUAGACAUGAGUGGUAAUGAAAACCAAAGAACACAUGUGGAAGAUGCGAGUCUAUUGCAACAAAAUGUUACACUUCUGAAGGAGAGACUCAACAAGUUCAAAAGAAGAAGAAAGGCCCUACCCAAAUGAAGAAUUUGAACGAAGUCAUUGCUCCAAUUGAAGUAAAGUUUAAUGAAAUGGGACAAUCACUAUCUGUCACUUUAUCUUCGUUUCUGGGCCGUCUUGUGAGGGAGACUGUACCAUAUACUCUUGUUGACUGGCGAUACCUUUCAGAUGAUAUGAAACUUGUUAUGUGGAAAGAUAUUCAGGUACAUCCUUCAAAAUAAUUCGACGUUAUAUAAUAUAACGUAAUAAGUAUUUGAUAUUGUAUAAAAUUGAAAAUUUAUAACUUGCAGCAAAGGUUCAAAGUAGAUGAAGAAUGGCAAAAAGACUACAUUUUCAAAGAAAUGGGUGGUCUCUGGAGAGCGUCGAAGUCUCGACUUGUGAAAAAGAUUAGAGAAGCACCAAAUGAAGCUGAAAGAAAGAAACUCAAACCUCAUCAUAUACUUAAACCCCAGUAAUGGAAGAAGUUUGUGAAGGAAAAGACGAGUACAGAAUUUAUGGUAAAUUCUACCUUUUCCCUUUUUUUAGAUCAAAUUUAUCUAAGCUAUGAUUAAUUAUCAAUAAACUUAUAUAAGUUUGGAAAUAUGAUUGUUAGGCUAAAAGCCAAAGAUUUAGAGAAAUUCGAGAAAAACAAAUCCCCCACACAUGCAGUCGUAAGGGAUUUGCCAGAUUGCGUGAAGAUAUGGUAACAUUCCACAAGCCUUCUUUAAUUUGACUAAGUCAAUCAUUUGCUCUAGAUUCUUAUCAUAUAAUUCUUCACUCUCUUAGCAAAAGAAGAGCAGCAAUCCAUCUUCUAUAGGUCCCAAGAAGGUUUGGGCAGCAGCAAAUAUAAAAAAGAAUGGUGAACCUAUAUGCAAACUUGUUGAAGAUACGCUUGUAAGUAUAAAUAAUUUAUUUUUCCUAGUUCUAUAUAUGCGCGCAUGCAUGUGUGUGUGCGCAUAUAUGUAUAUAUACACUUAUAUAUUGUCUUUUUAGGAAAAAUUGAAAGAUGCGAGUCCGCAUGCCUCUAACACUAACAUAAAAGAAGAUGCUCUUUCUAAAGUACUUGGUUCAAAGAAUACUGGACGAUUACGAGGGAUUGGAGGUGGAGUUUGCUAUACAAAGUAUUCCAUAUUAACUCAAAGGGAGUCUACUGUAGCUCAUUUAAAGGAAGAACAAAUCAUCUAAAGGUUCAAGUGGCAGAUAUGGUGAAAACAAUCAAUGACUUAUUGAAAAAACAGGUUAGUAAGUUCCAUUCAGUGAA